CCCCUCUCAGGAUCACACCUGGAGAGUUUCCAGUACUCCCCCAGUCUCGGCUACAGGAGGUAGAGUCAAGAGGCAUACCCAUUCCAUUCCUGGCUUGGGCAGUGGCUAGUGAGUGGAAGGCAAUCUGCUACAAGU